rnacentral:lncRNA from 1 species
CACAAUCAAAAUACACACUUUUUGCACCAACACCAGCAUGGCUGAUAAACUAGUAAACUAACACUACUACAAAAAAAGUUUCACUUGCUUCCAGCAUAAGGCUGGAAGCAAAUCAAAAGGAGAACUUGCUUCUAUGGUUCGGUUGGUUGUAGUCGCGUCGAGACAUGGAAGGAUGUUGCUGAGAGCAGUCUUUGCGAUGGUCUGCUCAUUCGUCCAUUGCGUGGCAUGUAUCCUUUCAAGCACUGCAACAACAACAAAAAGCUUUUAGACUUACAGAAGCAACUUGGUUAAGUUUUUUGCGGACAUUCUACAGCAGAUCGGACAGGGUACCUUCCCACUUGUUGAAUUCCAGCUCUUUUUUGUUCAGAAUCUUGUCAGCAAUCUGAAAUAAAUAGAGAACACGAUUACAAUAUUUAUCAAUGGAGGAGCAGGUAACUCUCGCUCACACCACACGCAUAGAUUAUAGUCUCCGAUGAUGCCAGCCUGAUUUGCUUUGGAUAAGCAAAGAUAAGGAUUCAUGCUCCACAAUGAAAUGGCCAGCAAUAGAAUGAAUGUACAAGUAUUUGAAUAGCAGAAGAACGAGAUGAAACAGACUGCAUACAGUAAGUCAGUAAUAACAUACGGAUCUGACUACA